UAGAAGUAGUCUCAUUAUUUUAUAAUCAUGUCCCUAACAAAUAAAGAAGAUGAAAAUUUUUAUCUAAAAGCCUCAAAUGGCUAUGGAUAAAUAAAAUAAUAUCCUGUGUUUAUUAUCUGAUCACUGUGGCCUUUGGUUUCCAACCAUUUGGAGUACAAUAAAUGUUUUCAAUAUAAAAAAAUUUUAUGAUCAAUCCCAUAAUAAUAGAUGGUCUUUUUACAUUCAGUGAUUGAGGAAAAAUUUAAUAAGUGCCUAAGCUGCAUUUUGUAAAAUUUAAUGGAUUUAAUAAUAAGUUUUUUUCCAUUAAUCUCAGUACUUUGUAUAUGUGGGAAAUGGUGGGGGACAUGUGUGAAGCAAUUGUUUUCUCAAUCUUUAGAUAUGCUAUAUGAAUGAAUUGCUAGACAUCCUAAUAUAACUAGGUUUUGCCGAGUCUAAGACCUAUUAGAUGGGAAUCAAGUACAGAAUUAUAAUUUUUUUAAAAAUCAGCAGCUGCUAUAAUUUUAGGCAAUUAUUCACGACUGUUUAAAGAACUCUCCUAUUGCAAUGAAAGAAACACCACCACCACUUCCUGCCCAAUAUUUCCUUCCAAUCAUUUACUUUAGGCUCACAUGCUUCCUUCUCUCCUCUGCUAACGGGAAAUUUUAUUUGUCAAAUAUGCUUUGUGGAUCAUAGGUCAGAAAAUCUGUGGAAGAAAAUGAAUCCAAAUAAAAAUGCAAUUUUUCAUGCAAACAAAUAAGUGAAUAAUGUGAUCAUAAAGGAAACAAAACAAGUACAUUGAAUUUGAAAGAGAAGGUUAUUUUUUAAACUUCUAUAGAAAACAUGAUAUUUUUUUUCUAUUUCAUUUAUUUCAGCCAAGUAAAACCUAAAUAUCAUAACAUAAAUUCAACAUUGUGUUUAUGUAGUAUAACACUUUAUGAAAGGGAAUCUGACAGAUUUUCCAAUAGGAUAAAACCACAGUCUGUGGAGUAGGGGCACUAUAUUAUAACAUCUUUUUAUUUGUUCGUCAUUUAAAAAAAAUCUCUUUUAGGCUGAAAUUUUGCAGAAGCUAAUCCCAAACAAAGGCAAUUCAGGAAGGAAGAAUUUAAAUUGUGUCCAUUUACCCUUUUAUGGGAUAAAGUAAUUUAAUAUAUCUAUCACUAUACCUCCUACCAUCAUGAGCACAUUAUAAUUUGACUCACAAUUAACAAGUUUUCAUGUGACUAUUCCUUAAGAAUUAUAGUCUUUGUUCAAACAUGAUGCCAUAUAACAAGGAACCGAAGGGCUUUCCAAAAGUGAUUUUAAUUUUUACUUGGAACACUCCAUUAGAAUAAUGAGUAUAAAAUGUGGUGAACAAAUUGAAAUGUAUUCCUUUGGAUUUUGCAUUGCAUGAGCUGUUAUCUUCCUCCCUGAAUGGAGAAGCUCCAGGAGUAAUGUGAGCAGCCAAAGUGCCCAGAUGACUAGAAGUUAGAAGUUUUCCUCCUGGUGAUGAUGGCCUUGAUUAGCAAGAAGAAAAAUACAGAUACAUUUAUAACAACUAGACAUGAAGCUAGAAAUGUGUCUUCCAUCCAUUGAAAAACUUAGAAAAUCCCCUUCAUUCUUCAUUCUCUUUCUAUUACAAAAUAAACAGAUCUCUGGGGCCUCUGAAAUGCAGCAGGGACUUUAGUGGUAUUUAUAAAUGGAAAAGCAGAAAAAGGAGGCAGCAGACAGGCUAUUCUAAUUAUAGCUACAUUUGCAUUUAUAGCCACGCUAUCUUUCACUUUCCUCAUACAGAUCAGAAACCUUAAAUAACCCCAAGAAGGCUAAGUAAUAAGAUCUUUAGCAAAUAACUUCCAUAACUUUGGAGACUAUUUUAAUACGGUAUUUCACACAAUCUUAGGGGUCACUAAUUUGACCGUCAAAACUUCUUGUUGAAUAAAUAAAAACUUGCUAAUUUCCAAUUUGUAGGCUAUAGAUGCAGAUGUGUAUUUGCUUUUGGAUAGUCUUAGAAUCUUUUCUUUUUGAAGGUCUCCAAACUCUGAAAUUACUGCUUAGAUUGUAUCAAUACUGAUGAAAAAACCCAGCUGCUUCAGGGGAAGCAGCAAGUGAGUACUGUAGACACGAUUUCUCCCUCUAAUGUAGUUCUUAACUUGAGUGUGUACGGAAAAUCACCGGAGGGGGCUUGUUAAAACAGCAGACCCUGAACUGGGCCACCAGAAAUACUAUUUUUUUUUGGUCUGAGGCAGAGCAUAGGAAUCUACUUUUAAUACACGAUCUUGGUGGAUCUGGCGCAAGGGAACUCACACACGGAAAAAUAUUGCCCUCACGUUAUGAAAGGAUUCAACAUUAUUCUCUCUUUUGAAAGAUCAUUGGCUUCAAAGAAUAAUUGAAAGUUAGAAACUUGGGCCUUUUACAGAACCAGGUAAUAUCUCUGCUACUCUUCUGGGAAUUAGUCUUGAACUGCAGCCACCGUGAAAGCUUCUGGUGUUAUUUAAAUUAAUUCUUGUAUUGUUAUUAAACUUUCCACAUGGUGCUGUUUAUCUCCUCAACUAGAGUUUGUGUUUCUGGGAGGCAAGAACUAUGCUUAUAUAUUUUUAAAAAAUAUUUUCAACAUUAUUUAGCACUCUUAUUAAAUAUUUAUUAGGCCCCCAAUAAACAUAUUGCAAUUUUGGUUUAAAAAACAGCCUAAAUUGCUUUAAAAUCCACCUUAACUUCUGAGGCAUGAAGCCACCUCUCUCGUGGAUAUUGCUUCGAACAAAGAUUUCCAAUAUCGCCUUGUACAGGAUAAAAUGGAGGCCACACCUAGUAUUUAUUAGAAAUUGGAAACUGAACUUGGGCUGUGUUAUCUAGCCACAAGGAAAAGGCAGAACGACAGUAAUAGCUUUGACUGAUUACUUGGCAAGGGAAACCAAGCCCUUAGGGUGUUCCAGUCUCUCUUUGGCCUAUAAACCUGUUUGAAAACCUGUUUCUCAGAAUUUAAAGCUUAGCUCGAUUGAGGUCAGUAUUAUAGUAAUGUCAAUAAUUCUACUGCCCUCAGCCUUCAGGCAGACCAGUACAAUCCAUCAUUAACUUUAUUUUCAUGGAAAGGCAACUUUUGGAAAAAUAGCUCUAACUUCAGCUAUUUUAUUUGAUUUUCUUUCCCUUAAGAAAUAGUUGUGCCAAUAUUGCUUCUUUCAGAUUUUUUGCUUUCUAAACCUUAACACCUUCCAGUGCCUGCAACUGUUACCUAAAAUCAGAGUAGCUCUAAACACAAAAUUUGGGGCAUGGCCAGGGGAAUUACCUGAAACUUGCAGAAAAAGACCAAAUAAGCCAUUGGGUCUGAAAAUAAUUUUCAGUAACUGAGACUUCAUGAGGUUCUGAAAUUGCCUCUGCCUUUAGCUGCUUUUUGGAGAUAUGAUACUGGGCUAUACUGCCUAGUGGAAUCUUCUGGCAGUGUCUAUUUCUUUCUCUUAAAAGUUAAAAGCUUAAUGAAUAGUAAACUGAUGUCCUUUCCUCUCUGAACAGACAGCUCCACUCCUGGUGAACAGUUAGAAGCACAUGCUCAAAGUAGAUGCACCACAUUCUUUUCAGGCAAGGACCUCCAUCCCCAGGGCUGGCUUUGGGGGGUAGUGAUCAAAGGUGCUAAAUGUUCACUUGUUGUGACAUUUCUCCUCUUGGUUCUAGAACCUGAAGAAGGACAAUGGCUCCAGCUUUUAUUGGAUCAGAUCUUGCCACUUGUUGAAGGAAACUGCCAUGAAAGGGAAGAAGCAGUUGCGUUCCUCAGUUCAUCCUUUUUUGAAAAUUACUGGAUGAUCAUCAUGCACCAAACACUUUGAAUGUUCACAGAGUGAGAAGAAAAGAGUACCUGAGGACCAGAUGCUGGCAAACACCAACACUGCAGACAGUAGAGAAGAAAAAGAGACUGCAGAGAAGCCUGAGAAGGCAUAGCCACAAAGAAGUAUCAGCGUGAGGAAGGACAAGAACAAAACAGUGAGAAAUAUUGCCAAGAUUGACUAAGUUGGUGGGGUUCUGGGUGACACAGAUUUGCUAGUUGUCUCCUCAUGAUCAUAAUCGGCUUCCAAAGAAAUAGAAGUUUUGGCUGCCCCAAAUCAAAAUGACAUUUCCCAUCCUCCCAUCCAAUUGGUGUGGCCAUAUAAUUAAAGCCCACAAUGGGAUAUAAAUGAAAGUGUCCCAUGACAAUAUCCAGGAAUUUUCCUCAAGAGGCAGAUGACUCAGCCUUUACACUGCCUUCAUCUUUGUCUCCAUCUGCUACCUAGGAUUUGGAUACUAUUAAUACCUUUACUUUGUUCAUGAAUAUAACGGCCACCCCUUGGUGAGUGGAGCUGUGAGCUGGAAGGAGCUUGCAUCCCAGAGCACCUUGUGGAGUAGAGCUGCCAUACAGCUCCAGAACACAUGCCUUCGAACUUCUACACAUAGAGAAAUCAACAUCUGUCUUAUUAUGCUUGUAAUGUUUUGUUUUUGUUUUCUCUUUCUCCCAGCUGAACUUAAUUCUAAUCAACUCACUGUGUUUUGUUUUGUUUUCUCUUUGACAGGAAAAUAUUUUGGGAGAAAUCCUGAUGAGUUAAGGCCCCCUCUAUACUACCCAUUUUUACAUUUCAUUUAAAAAUGCUAUGAAAAUAUGACAUGAACUGUUAGUUAUGGAGGAUUUAAAGUUGGAUGUUGCUUGUAUUAACAAGAAAAACUAUGCAGUAAGUUCAACUCUAAAAACCAACUAAGAUGAUGUUUACAAAAAUCAUUUUAGUUAAAAUCUCAAGUAUAAAUUAUGGCCUGAGGUAUAUUCUGAAAGAAAGUUAUCUGUGGUUCUAAACAAAACUUGUUGUCAAGGCGGAGUAUUUAGAAUACAGAGAAGGGGGUGGGAUGGAGAGAGGGUAGAGAUGGCCUACUCUCUGGAAAGAAGGUCUGAGAUCUGGGUGCAACAAUACAGGCCUCUGACUGUCAUUUCCCUGAGUGACACACACGGUUGAGUGAAAGUGCCAUGACAUGCCAUCUCCAGUGCAAGAGGUUUCCUGGCAGCUUUCACCUCGAGUUCAAGAGUUGUUCCCCACGGUCUGCUUAUCCUCCUUGGAUGGGAGCCCAGCCGCCAUGACUAAACAAGGCAGUAGAUUCGCCAGCCCAAAUGCCAGAUCAUCUGAAUACUUUCUCCCUUUCUUUCCCAGCCUCAUUCUGUUCCCCAAGGAGCAUAAAACAAGGAGAGGAAGUGAGAAGAAAGAAACUGAAAGAGUAAAUGCUGCUUGAACAAGCCACACUCCCUUGCCUUCAGUCUCAUUUAGCUUCUACCUAAGCUAGGGGAUGAAAUUGGCUGCUGAGGAUACCCAAGAGACCCUGGCUAGGGUUAUAACAUUCAAACCAAAUACAGGUGGCAGACACUAAUUCCAGGUCGGGAUUCUUUAACAACUGACAUCUUGAGGCAACAUUGGUUCCCUGAGAAAGUGAAGGUUUUGGCUGGCUGGAUCAGGAAAAGGAAGUGAUGCCUGGAACUGGAGUAGCCAUCUAAGGGAUGAUGCCAAAAGCCACAUGCUGAGCAUUGUGAAGCAAAGAGCUUCAAGGAGCAGCAAGCAGUUGCACUAGUCCUGGACUCGUGAGUUAUGGAUUUCUUGUGAUGUGAGAAAAAUAAGCCCCUUUUUGGUCAAACCCUUUUGGCCAGGUUUCUAUUACAGGCAGGCAAACGCAAUCCUCACUGGCUCAAGUGACUUGCUCACAGCCAUCAAACUAGUGAUGACAGCCAGGAUUAAGACACGGAUCUGUUUCACUUCAAAGGCCAUGCUCUUUCCAGGCUAUUGGGCACCUUCAAGGUCUGUUACUCUUUCUAUGUACUUCUCAUUUUAGCUUCCUGGAGGCUGGGAAAGUGUUCAGAAACUCACAGACUCUCACAUUCCUUCCUGGGAUUUAGAAAUGUAUUUCUAUGUGUAUCUUGUGCAAUAUUUGACUUUUCACAGGUCCAUUCAAAUCUGACCUCAACUCUCCAGUACUCCUGGCACAGCUAAGCCACUGACUUCCACUGGCAGGCUCCAUUAGCAUAGCGUCCUAGAACUUACCAUUCUCCUCAGAAAUCAGAACUGUAUCAGGAAAAUUCCCCCUUUGGCACUACAGCUGUGAAUCACAAGCUCUCAUUUGUGCCAUCUAAGGACAAAGAAAUGGGACACCUGUGCUUUUCAUUUGUAAUAACAAUUUUGGAAACAUCUCACCAACAAUCAGUUUAUCUUAUGGAAUAUAAGUGCUUUGGUAAAAGGUUUAGUAAUGGAAAUUGCCAGUGAACUUGUAUUGGUGUGUCUUCAACGUUUGGCUCAGAGAGGCCUUCUCGGCACUAUGCUCCAGUGACAUAGGGCUGCUGCUGUCCUUUUUCAGAAUUUCCUGUACUCUUGCUUUGAGGCCUUUACCCUAUUUCUCAUUUAGAAAGCCUUUUGCACCCAAUCUCCACCUUUCUAAAUCUUUCAAGUCCAAGCUCAAAAACCACCUUCCAAAUCUAGUUUUCCCUCACCAUUUGAGUUGAAAUAAAUUAAUCUCUCAUCUGUUAAUCUGUAUUAGUUAGCAAUUACCGCAGGAAAAAAAAAAAUCACUCCAAAACUUAAAAGCUUAAGACAGUAACUGUUAAUUUGCUCACAAUUGUAUGGGUCAACAACUGGGCAGCGUUUAACUGGCAUUGAUGGGGUUUACUUCUGUGUUUCCCGUCAGUUGGUGGACUGGCUGUGGGCCAGCUGGCCAGUCAACAAGGACCUUACUCUUAAGCCUGUGGCCUUGGCUGUGUUGCUUGGAAUGGCUGGGCAGUUUGGGCCUCUCCCUUCACAAGCAGAAAGCAAAAGUGAUAAUGCUAUUGUAGAACAUCAUUUUGCCUCAUUUCAUUGAUCAAAGCAAGUUGCAAGGCCAACCCAGAUACAAAGGGUAAGGAUAUUAAAAUGAGACUCCAAUUGAUGCUUUUUCAAAUAUGGCCUCAUUGUCCUAAUUUUUUAAAUAAAAUUUUCUGUAAUUUUCCUCAAAGUUGAAAUUUUAUGAUUAGUGAAUCUGGAAGUAUGAACAUCUUCAAUUGAGUUUUCUCUGUAAAUCAUGCUUUUCAAUUUUUUAUUUUGAACUAAUUUUUGAUUUACAGAAAAGUUGAAAAAAAUAGUGCAGAUACUUUUCAAACACUCUUUACCCCGCUUCACCAAUAUUAACAUCUUACAUAUCAAAAUACGAUUGUCAGAGAAGGAAAAUUAACUCUAGAUCUCUAGAUAAAGGUGGCCCCUGCUAAGUUUCUCUUAGCACUGGUAAGAGAACUUAGUAAAGUUACCAUGUUUCCCUUUGAGGUUAAUAAUUACUUGGGGAGAAAGUUUGAGAAUAUGAAAAGCAUAUUUUUCCUCUAACUUUCACCCACUAAACAUGACAUCAAUCAGUAGGUUUUGUCUGUAAUAGUUGACUGUGGUGUUUAUGUAAUGUGAAUGUGAUUUUCCAUUUCCUUA